GGCGGCCCCGCGGGCCCGGCGCGGCCGGGCGGUCGCGGCCGCCGGGGGAGCGGGUGCGGGCGGCGGGGGCCCCGCGUUGGUGCGGCUGCGCCGGGGCUGGAGGAGAUUGCGCGGAAUGACAUGGAAAACACAACGGGGACAGGCGCAGGAAGAGCCCCCAGAAGUUGUUUAGAGCAGCCUGGAAAGCAAAAUAUUUUCAAAGAUGUCCCUUUAUUAAGAGAGAAUCUGUGUUUAUUCCAUGCUCUCUGCUCAAGGACAGCCAGGGCUGCUCUAAGGCCCUGCACACGUUUCAUCAGAGGAAUCCAUCCCGAGCUGCUCUCCUGUGUUCAUCAAGACAACCAGUCCCAGCUUGACUAGGCCAAUGUUCAAGCAGCAAUCAAUUUAUUAAUUAAUGUGGUAAAGCAUGAGCAAAGCAGCGCUGGGUACAGUGGGGGAAGGUUUCCCUCCAGCUGCAUGCCGAUUGUUGG